rnacentral:misc_RNA from 1 species
GGCGGGCUGAGUAGCGGAUGCGGGCGGCUGGGGUGUCCUGGCAGGGGAAGAUGGAGCGGGCGUGGAUCGACUGGCACUGGGUGUAGACGAAGGGGAGGGAGGAGGUUUGCGGCGGCGAGAGCCAUUGGAGGGCGGAGGAGGAGGGGGAGGUGGAGAAGGUGAGGAGGAUGGAGGAGGCGGCGGAGGGGAGGGAGAGGGUGAG